rnacentral:rRNA from 1 species
AUGAAACGGCUCUGCUGCAAUGCAUGGCAGAGGGUCCGUAGUACCCGAAGCACUGGAGUGAUCCAGAAGCCGGGAAGGGGCCUAGAAGUGCCUACUACUACACCACACUACACUUGGCUCUACACAUUUACAGAGCUUACCCCUGUCCAGUGUCUGGCAGAACAUUGGGGGCUUCAAUUGUCGACUCGUUAUCCCCAUCUCAGCCCAGGCUAA